AUACGUAGGUGACAAGCGUUAUCCGGAUUUACUGGGCGUAAAGGGCGUGUAGGCGGUCUUGCAAGUCAGAAGUGAAAUUCCUGAGCUCAACUCGGGCGCUGCUUCUGAAACUGCAGGACUUGAGUGCUGGAGGGGAUAGCGGAAUUCCUAGUGGAGCGGUAAAAUGCGCAGAUAUUAGGAAGAACACCGGUGGCGAAGGCGGCUAUCUGGACAGUAACUGACGCUGAGGCGCGAAAGCGUGGGGAGCAAACAGGAUUAGAUACCCUGGUAGUCCACACCAUAAACGAUGAAUACUAGGUGUAGGGGGUAUCGACCCCCUCUGUGCCGACGUUAACACAUUAAGUAUUCCACCUGGGGAGUACGGCCGCAAGGCUGAAACUCAAAGGAAUUGACGGGG
rnacentral:rRNA from 1 species